rnacentral:rRNA from 1 species
UACGAAGGGGGCUAGCGUUGUUCGGAAUUACUGGGCGUAAAGCGCGCGUAGGCGGCCAUACAAGUCAGGGGUGAAAUCCUGCGGCUUAACCGCAGAAUUGCCUUUGAAACUGUAUGGCUUGAGUCCGGAAGAGGGUGGUGGAAUUCCUAGUGUAGAGGUGAAAUUCGUAGAUAUUAGGAGGAACACCAGUGGCGAAGGCGGCCACCUGGUCCGGUACUGACGCUGAGGCGCGAAAGCGUGGGGAGCAAACAGG